rnacentral:rRNA from 1 species
AAUCAACGCUGGCGGCGUGCCUCAGACAUGCAAGUCGAACGUGAAAGUUUCCUUCGGGGAGCGAGUAGAGUGGCGCACGGGUGAGUAACACGUAGGUGAUUUACCUUUGGGUGGAGAAUAACAGUCGGAACGAUUGCUAAUACUGCAUAAUGCAGCGGCUCGACAUCGAGACAGUUGUUAAAGUAGGGUUGAAAGACCUUAUGCCUAAAGAAAAGACCUGCGGCAGAUUAGCUAGAUGGUAAGGUAAUGGCUUACCAUGGCGACGAUCUGUAGCCGGCCUGA